ACACUCCUGCGGGAGGCAGCAGUGGGGAAUUUUGGACAAUGGGCGAAAGCCUGAUCCAGCAAUGCCGCGUGUGUGAAGAAGGCCUUCGGGUUGUAAAGCACUUUUGUCCGGAAAGAAAUCCUUGGCUCUAAUACAGUCGGGGGAUGACGGUACCGGAAGAAUAAGCACCGGCUAACUACGUGCCAGCAGCCGCGGUAAUACGUAGGGUGCGAGCGUUAAUCGGAAUUACUGGGCGUAAAGCGUGCGCAGGCGGUUUGCUAAGACCGAUGUGAAAUCCCCGGGCUCAACCUGGGAACUGCAUUGGUGACUGGCAGGCUAGAGUAUGGCAGAGGGGGGUAGAAUUCCACGUGUAGCAGUGAAAUGCGUAGAGAUGUGGAGGAAUACCGAUGGCGAAGGCAGCCCCCUGGGCCAAUACUGACGCUCAUGCACGAAAGCGUGGGGAGCAAACAGGAUUAGAAACCCUUGUAGUCC
rnacentral:rRNA from 1 species